UGCAAGUCGACGGUGAACCCAGCUUGCUGGGUGGAUCAGUGGCGAACGGGUGAGUAACACGUGAGCAACCUGCCCUCCACUUCGGGAUAAGCCUUGGAAACGGGGUCUAAUACCGGAUAUGAGCAUCCAUCGCAUGGUGGGUGUUGGAAAGUUUUUCGGUGGGGGAUGGGCUCGCGGCCUAUCAGCUUGUUGGUGGGGUGAUGGCCUACCAAGGCGUCGACGGGUAGCCGGCCUGAGAGGGCGACCGGCCACACUGGGACUGAGACACGGCCCAGACUCCUACGGGAGGCAGCAGUGGGGAAUAUUGCACAAUGGGCGCAAGCCUGAUGCAGCGACGCCGCGUGAGGGAUGACGGCCUUCGGGUUGUAAACCUCUUUCAGCAGGGAAGAAGCGCAAGUGACGGUACCUGCAGAAGAAGCGCCGGCUAACUACGUGCCAGCAGCCGCGGUAAUACGUAGGGCGCAAGCGUUGUCCGGAAUUAUUGGGCGUAAAGAGCUCGUAGGCGGUCUGUCGCGUCUGGUGUGAAAUCCCGAGGCUCAACCUCGGGCUUGCAUCGGGUACGGGCAGACUAGAGUGCGGUAGGGGAGACUGGAAUUCCUGGUGUAGCGGUGGAAUGCGCAGAUAUCAGGAGGAACACCGAUGGCGAAGGCAGGUCUCUGGGCCGCAACUGACGCUGAGGAGCGAAAGCAUGGGGAGCGAACAGGAUUAGAUACCCUGGUAGUCCAUG
rnacentral:rRNA from 1 species